CUAUUGGCAUGAACGUCCAUAUCCCGCAACUCUCCCUCUCGCAAUUCAGUCUUUGAAUUUGAAUACGGUUGUUUUUAGGAGGUUGUCUCUGCCGCGGUCUGCUUCUUCUUCUUCAAUUUUUGCAACAAGAGAACCAUUCAAUUACUCAGUGAUCUCACUUGAUCCGAGAAUGAGUUUCAGAGCUUGACCAUGUGGGUGCUCUUUCUUCUGCAUCGUGUGGGGGAUCUAAUGAGCGCAUUGCUUGAGGACAUGGUUCGAAGUUACUUCUGCUUUGGGAUUGCAGUGUCGUGAACAUACUGUAGGAUUCUUGGAUCAUUGAGGGGCGCUCAUAAUGUCGACUGGUAGCAUUUAAAACCGGGUGGGAAUCGAAUUGGCUCACGGAAUUUCACACCCAAUCCAAUCUUUGCAUUACAGACAUGACUAAUUUUCUCGCAAUUCAUUGAGAGUUUCCUAUGGGUAUGAUACAUUUGCAGUGGAAAAAAAUUUAGGCAGCGUUGAAUUUGGAGUAGAGGGAUAAGCGACAACCAACUAUGGAUGCGGCCGUUUUCAGCUUAAAUUCGAAAGCAGCGCAGGUGAGGCACACGAACUCGGUGACCAGAGGAUGAAUUUAAGAUUGAAGUGUGGUAGACUAUUGAAUGGUCAAGACGGGUGAGGAGGAUGAGGAUGAAGGUGGCACAAUGGAAUUUUCCACUGAAUGUGAUAUGCUCAUGGAGAGCAGCAAGAGAACGUUAUGUCUGCACUUAUUCAAGGUAUGGGGGAGAAGUGAGGUAUUUGGACUCUGGGGUUAGAGGCUUAUAUGCUCUAGAUACGGACUGCUAAUUGAUUCCUAGGGUCGUUCGUGAAAUGGCAAAGAAAAGAAGAGAAUCUCUUCGCAAUCACUGCAGGUUUGACAUCUUUCUGUAUUAAAUGCGGUAAUGGUCGAAUCUUUAGAACCAUUACCGCAUGUAAGUUUGUAUACAGUGCGUAAAAGAUGAUUCAAGGAUGUUUUGGUAUAUGGAUAGCUAUGGUGUACACUGGUGCACAUCUUAGUGGAAGAGAUCCCAAUUGACACUUCUCAUG